rnacentral:rRNA from 1 species
AGCCAUGCGAGUCGAGAGGGUUCGGCCCUCGGCGGACUGCUCAGUAACACGUGGAUAAUCUGCCCUUAGGUGGAGGAUAACCUCGGGAAACUGAGAAUAAUACUCCAUAGGUCUAGGAUGCUGGAAUGCAUCUAGACUCAAAGAUUUAUCGCCUAAGGAUGAGUCUGCGGACUAUCAGGUUGUAGUCAGGGUAAUGGCCUGACUAGCCUACGACGGAUACGGGUUGUGAGAGCAAUAACCCGGAGACGAUAUCUGAGACACGAUAUCGGGCCCUACGGGGCGCAGCAGGCGCGAAACCUUCACACUGUGCGAAAGCGCGAUGAGGGGAUCCCAAGUGCUUGCUCUUAGGAGUAAGCUGUUUUCCUGUUUAAAUCGCAGGGAGAGGAAGGGCUGGGUAAGACGGGUGCCAGCCGCCGCGGUAAUACCUGCAGCUCAAGUGGUGACCGCUAUUAUUGGGCCUAAAACGUUCGUAGCCGGUUUGGUAAAUGCCUGGGUAAAUCGAGCCGCUUAACGGUUCGAAUUCCGGGUAGACUGCCAGACUUGAGACCGGGAGAGGCUAGAGGUACUCCUGGGGUAGAGGUGAAAUUCUGUAAUCCUGGGGGGACCACCAGUGGCGAAGGCGUCUAGCUAGAACGGGUCUGACGGUGAGGGACGAAGCCCUGGGGCGCAAACCGGAUUAGAUACCCGGGUAGUCCAGGGUGUAAACGCUGCUUGCUUGAUGUUAGUCGGGCUCUGAGCCCGAUUAGUGUCGGAGAGAAG